UUAACGCUGAGGUGUGAUGACGAGGCACUACGGUGCUGAAGUGAUAAAUGCCCUGCUUCCAGGAAAAGCCUCUAAGCAUCAGGUAACACGAAAUCGUACCCCAAACCGACACAGGUGGUCAGGUAGAGAAUACCAAGGCGCUUGAGAGAACUCGGGUGAAGGAACUAGGCAAAAUGGUGCCGUAACUUCGGGAGAAGGCACGCUGAUGUGUAGGUGAAGCCCCUGCGGGCGGAGCUGAAAUCAGUCGAAGAUACCAGCUGGCUGCAACUGUUUAUUAAAAACACAGCACUGUGCAAACACGAAAGUGGACGUAUACGGUGUGACGCCUGCCCGGUGCCGGAAGGUUAAUUGAUGGGGUUAGCGGCAACGCGAAGCUCUUGAUCGAAGCCCCGGUAAACGGCGGCCGUAACUAUAACGGUCCUAAGGUAGCGAAAUUCCUUGUCGGGUAAGUUCCGACCUGCACGAAUGGCGUAAUGAUGGCCAGGCUGUCUCCACCCGAGACUCAGUGAAAUUGAACUCGCUGUGAAGAUGCAGUGUACCCGCGGCAAGACGGAAAGACCCCGUGAACCUUUACUAUAGCUUGACACUGAACACUGGUCCUUGAUGUGUAGGAUAGGUGGGAGGCUUUGAAGCGUGGACGCCAGUCUGCGUGGAGCCAACCUUGAAAUACCACCCUUUAAUGGCUGGUGUUCUAACGUAGACCCGUAAUCCGGGUUGCGGACAGUGUCUGGUGGGUAGUUUGACUGGGGCGGUCUCCUCCCAAAGAGUAACGGAGGAGCACGAAGGUUGGCUAAUCCUGGUCGGACAUCAGGAGGUUAGUGCAAUGGCAUAAGCCAGCUUGACUGCGAGCGUGACGGCGCGAGCAGGUGCGAAAGCAGGUCAUAGUGAUCCGGUGGUUCUGAAUGGAAGGGCCAUCGCUCAACGGAUAAAAGGUACUCCGGGGAUAACAGGCUGAUACCGCCCAAGAGUUCAUAUCGACGGCGGUGUUUGGCACCUCGAUGUCGGCUCAUCACAUCCUGGGGCUGAAGUAGGUCCCAAGGGUAUGGCUGUUCGCCAUUUAAAGUGGUACGCGAGCUGGGUUUAGAACGUCGUGAGACAGUUCGGUCCCUAUCUGCCGUGGGCGCUGGAGAAUUGAGGGGGGCUGCUCCUAGUACGAGAGGACCGGAGUGGACGCAUCACUGGUGUUCGGGUUGUCAUGCCAAUGGCACUGCCCGGUAGCUAAAUGCGGAAGAGAUAAGUGCUGAAAGCAUCUAAGCACGAAACUUGCCCCGAGAUGAGUUCUCCCUGAGACUUUAAGUCUCCUGAAGGAACGUUGAAGACGACGACGUUGAUAGGUCGGGUGUGUAAGCGCAGCGAUGCGUUGAGCUAACCGAUACUAAUGAACCGUGAGG
rnacentral:rRNA from 1 species